rnacentral:misc_RNA from 1 species
CGAAUGAAGCAGAGCCCCGAUACAGAGGAGUGACAGGUGGAAGGCCGAGCGCCGCAGCGAAGACAUCUGCUCGCCGUGAAAACGGCAACAAUGACCAGGACACAUCCACGCCGUAGCCACGCGGAUCACGCCUCAUUGGCGGAACCCAUGUUUUAUUUUCCGCGAACUGCGAAGAAAGGGUUCAAAAAGAAUGGACAUCCGUUUGGAGGGUGCACGGGGGUGUCGGUGACGGUGUCGCAACCGCGGCGGAGGUAGAGACGGCUUGGGGCGUCCUGCGUUAUCAUUCAAAGGCAGAUGAGGGCGCUUGCGAAUCUCCUUACCCACCUGCACUACUCGGUAGAGAAGCGAGCCCGUGUAAACUUGCCACCCUCAACCAUUUCUUAGGGCAUUGGGGAGGGGAGGGGGGCUAUCGAAGUCCUGCAUUCUGUCGCACCCACCCUCUCUGAAACAGAGGCAUCCCCAUUUACUUGUUCUCCUUCUAUAAGGCAACCCGGCUCUGUGCGAGCUCUGCCCCUCUUUUAGUUUGCCUGUUCCGCUUGCCACUCUCUCCUCAUACCUUUGCGGCGACUCUCGCAGGAGAACAACAACGGCGAAGUUCGGCUUUGCCGACGGGCUGCUCCUUUCUGUUCGUGCCUGUGCGUUUUGGUGUGUCUGCCGGCGUCGUGGCUGGCACGCAGAGAAACCUUUCUUUCUUUUCCUCACUCCAACACACACACACACACACACGCACGCACGCACAUCCACACUCCCCACACACUCAACGAGGCAUGUGAGCAGCGUCAUUCUCCUUGAUUCGGCCCCUCCUCUCUGAUUGGCCGCCUUUCAUUCUCGAGAGUGCGUGCCACCGUCCCCUCACCGUCAUUAUGGCGCUGCUUUGCUUGUCCUUGUGUUUUCCUUCCUAGGCCGUGACCCUGGACUUCCU